UAUCCAGACUCCUACGGGAGGCAGCAGUGAGGAAUAUUGGUCAAUGGGCGGAAGCCUGAACCAGCCAAGUCGCGUGAGGGAAGAAGGCCCUGCGGGUCGCAGACCUCUUUGGACGGGGAGCAAGGCCGCCGACGUGUCGGCGGAAGGAGAGUACCCGUAGAACAAGCAUCGGCUAACUCCGUGCCAGCAGCCGCGGUAAUACGGAGGAUGCGAGCGUUAUCCGGAUUUAUUGGGUUUAAAGGGUGCGCAGGCGGUCUGUUAAGUCAGCGGUCAAAGCCCGGGGCUCAACCCCGGUCCGCCGUUGAAACUGGCAGUCUCGAGUUGGAGAGAAGUAUGCGGAAUGCGCGGUGUAGCGGUGAAAUGCAUAGAUAUCGCGCAGAACUCCGAUUGCGAAGGCAGCAUGCCGGCUCCACACUGACGCUGAGGCACGAAAGCGUGGGUAUCGAACAGGAUUAGAUACCCCUGUAU
rnacentral:rRNA from 1 species